AGAGUUUGAUCCUGGCUCAGGAUAAACGCUGGCGGCGCACAUAAGACAUGCAAGUCGAACGGACUUAAUCGAUUCUUUUAGAUUCGAAGCGGUUAGUGGCGGACUGGUGAGUAACACGUAAGCAACCUGCCUGUUAGAGGGGAAUAACAGUGAGAAAUCACUGCUAAAACCGCAUAUGCCGUGAACAUCGCAUGAUGAAAACGGGAAAAGAGCAAUCUGCUAAUAGAUGGGCUUGCGUCUGAUUAGCUAGUUGGUGUGGUAAAGGCAUACCAAGGCAACGAUCAGUAGCCGGACUGAGAGGUUGAACGGCCACAUUGGGACUGAGAUACGGCCCAGACUCCUACGGGAGGCAGCAGUCGGGAAUAUUGCGCAAUGGAGGAAACUCUGACGCAGUGACGCCGCGUAUGGGAAGAAGGUUUUCGGAUUGUAAACCAUUUUAGACAAGGAAGAAACAAGACAGUACUUGUAGAAUAAGCUCCGGCUAACUACGUGCCAGCAGCCGCGGUAAUACGUAGGGAGCAAGCGUUAUCCGGAUUUAUUGGGUGUAAAGGGUGCGUAGACGGGAAGGUAAGUUAGUUGUGAAAUCCCUCGGCUCAACUGAGGAACUGCGACUAAAACUGCUUUU
rnacentral:rRNA from 1 species